UGGCUCGAGGACGAACGCUGGCGGCGUGCUUAACACAUGCAAGUCGAACGAAGCAUUUGUGAAGGAGGCUUCGGCCAAUGGAUCAAAUGACUUAGUGGCGGACGGGUGAGUAACGCGUGAGCAACCUGCCUUUCAGAGGGGGAUAACGUUUGGAAACGAACGCUAAUACCGCAUGACAUAGCUUUAUCGCAUGGUAGGGCUAUCAAAGGAGCAAUCCGCUGAAAGAUGGGCUCGCGUCCGAUUAGAUAGUUGGUGGGGUAACGGCCUACCAAGUCGACGAUCGGUAGCCGGACUGAGAGGUUGAACGGCCACAUUGGGACUGAGACACGGCCCAGACUCCUACGGGAGGCAGCAGUGGGGAAUAUUGCACAAUGGGCGCAAGCCUGAAUGCAGCAACGCCGCGUGAGGGAAGGCGGUUUUCGGAUUGUAAACCUCUGUCCUUGGUGACGAAGAAUGACGGUAGCCAAGGAGGAAGCCACGGCUAACUACGUGCCAGCCGCGGC
rnacentral:rRNA from 1 species